rnacentral:lncRNA from 1 species
UUUUUACGCCAGAAAAUGUGGACUAGUAGUCACUCUCUUAAUUGCACAGAGCUUACAGGUGGCAGCACUCCAUGGACUCGGAUCCUAAGGCUACCACAAUGUGCUUCCCAGAAUCAUGACCAUUUCCCUCAGACACUUUCUUUCCCCCACAAAACUAUCUACCUCCUUCUGGAUUUGAAUUUCUAUGAAAAACCAGAUACUUGCCAAUAAAUGUCCCAGCCAAAGCCUGGCCCAUCUGCAUUUCUUUUGCCCACCUCAGAUCCCAAAUUAAACAUCCACAAUAAGGAAUGCCUGGAUGGCUCAGUGAUUGAGUGUCUGCCUUUGGCUCAGGUCGUGAUCCCAGGGUUGUGGAAUCGAGUCCCACAUUAGGCUCCCUGCGGGAAACCUGCUCCUCCUUCUGCCUAUGUCUCUGCCUCUUUCUGUGUGUCUCUCAUGAAUAAAUAAAUAAAAUCUUUAAAUAUCCACAACGAGAACAGGAUGGAAAAGCCAGAAUGCUGCAAAAAUCUGACUAAAAGGCUUGUGCCCCUCCCAACACCCUCCAGUAUGGAUUUUGUUCCCUAGAAAUCUGUACCCACUCUUACUAAGCCAUGGUCUGACCUGCAGGAUCUAGAGCAGCUCCAGGAAGCAAGAGAAAAUGCAACACACAGCUCUCUCCGGGCUUUCCGGAACAGGAAAGGGCAGCUGCUCUCAGUUAAAGGCUGGAGGGAGUGAGGGCUCAAACAGGGAUCAUCAUCUGGAUUCUGACCUUUCUCCCACUAAACUGAAGAUUCUCCCUUGGUGAUGAUUCAUUGUGUCUUCAUUCACAUUGUGCACACUUUUCACUAUUACCUUGCGCACACUUCUACUUCCCAAUUAAAAAUGAUCCCAGUAGCUGGGAGGGCGAGAAAGGGCAUGGAGUCUGGGAGCUUCCAAGACUUCCGAGCCUCUCUGUUUCUCCUGCCUUUCUGCUUUCUCACUUUCUGCCAUUCCUUGAAGAGCAACAAAGGAAGCAACUCCAGCAAAGCCACAUAAGUCUGAGAUUUAGCUCUCAAAUUUGUCAGUUGCAACCUUGUAGCUCCUUUUCCAUCUGUGCUUUUUACCUUAGCUUUUUUUUAAUUAUAAUUCUUCCUAUUGAUUUUAAGCAUAGCUCAGAGUAACACUAACCAGCGCUACAUUAGCUUAAAACCAAACCAGCUGACCUUAUCUGGUAAUGGGGCACAGCUGAAGAAGGCAUGAAGCUCUCAAGAAAGCAUCAGCCACAGAUGAAAACAAGGCAUUGUGGAACUCGUGUAUGAGUUCUGUAUGUCCCUUCCAAACCUUUGAGAAUCACAGCCUGGGAAUGGAAGCAACUGCGAGGUUGUGAAGAAUCCAUCCUUGGACAGCAGUCCCAACCUUGACUACACCAUGGUCCCAUUGAUCACUUUAGAACAAAACAGUUACUUAAAUGUGCAGCCCUGGACACUCCUUGUUACUGAGUUAAAAGCAAAGCUCCAUCAGUUGACCUAGGGAGCACCCAUUGCUCACCCCAUUUCAUUCCUUCCACCUGCCAGGGUAAGAAAAAUCAAGGAAGACAUGCCAGUCCACACCUGCCUCCUCCCUCCUGAGAGAAUGAGCCGCUGCUUCCUCUGUUUUAUCAUGACCCUCUUCAUUCUGGGUCCCCCGUCCUUAUGUACUUGUCUCCCCAUCUGGCUGUCCUUCUUCAACUUAGGAACAGUACUGUCUCAUCUUGACAGCCCCAAGAAUAGAGACGAUAAACAAAAGUGUUUGAUGGGGUGAAGAAUGAAUGAAUGGACAAAUUUUUUUUUAAUUUAGUCUCCAAAAAAAUUACCUUCCAGGAGGGAAGUCAAGACAUACAGUAAAAUACGUGAGAUAAAACAGUAAGUGAUAAAGAUCAGAAUAAGCAGCACAGGAGGAAGGGACCUCUGACAGGGAUGAGAAAGUUCUAUUGGGAGGAAAUAAUAUCUAUUUUCAAGGCCUGCAAAGAUCCAGAUGCCCAGAGACCUUCAACACCAAACAAGAGAUUCUAUUUUUUGGUCUAAAUGUUAGAGACAGGCAUACAAGGAAUAUGAAUCUGGUGGGCAAGGUGGACUGGAACUCGUGUCAGGGAGAGCCCACCAUUUGGAGAAACUGGUUUACACAGUAGCAGAGGAAACCCUAACCAGUUACCUGUUUUAACCAAACACUAUUUGUAUUUGAAAGGAUAGAAGAGUUAAUACCAUUGCACAAACAAGAAUUAAUAUUCACAGAGAACAAAUGGCAUCAGAGACAGAAUUCAUAGGUCAGAUAGGAACUCCCAAGUAUAAACCCUAAUUCAAAUUCUCUGAGAGCUUCUAGAACAUUCUGCACCUAUAAGUUAAGAAGAGGUUGUUUAUCCAACAAGAAAUAGAUUCAUCCCUGAUGGCUACGUAGAGUCUUGAUUAAAGAUGUGGGCAAUGUUAAACAAUCAAACAAACAAAUGGACGAUGAAUGGUGGGGCACCAGAGAUUAGCAAUAAGGAGGAGCCAUUAACGCCUACUGCUCAAGGCACCUGAAGAGGAAUCUUGUUAUUCAGGGCCGGUUACUACUACUCUGGAAGCCAAGUGGUCCAGAGGGAGCUGCAAGGACAGAAGGACACAGGCGAGGCCACAAGACAAAAGAGAAGAAAUAUUCUGACUGCAUUUUCUGCUCUCACUACAGACAUGUGCUCAUGCCUCCCACUAGGCAAACCAGCAAGGAAGUGGAGGGAUGAGGGACAGGGAAUAGCAGAGAAGGAGCCUUAGUGAAACAAAGCUUAAAUAAUCCAAGAAGCUAUGAAGGAGGAAAAAUCCAAGUGUGUGUGGCGGGGGGAGGGGGGAGAAGGCAAGAGGGUCAUUGGAAAUGAAGAAUAUGAUUGAUAAAAACAAAAUUUAAAAAAAAAUGUGGAAGGCAAGGUACAGAACAUUUCAUAGGGCAAAAAGGAGAUGGAAAAUAUGAGAGGGACGCCUGGGUGGCUCAGCGGUUGAACGCUUGCCUUGGGCCCAGGGUGUGAUCUUGGAAUCCCAGAACUGAGUCCCACAUUGGGCUCCCUGCAUGGAGCCUACUUCUCCCUCUGCCUGUGUCUCUGCCUCUCUCUCUCUGUGUCUCUCAUGAAUAAAUAAAUAAAAUCUUUAAAAAGAAAAUAUGAGAGGGGAGUCAGGAAGCAUGGAAGACGGGUCCCGGAGAGAGCUCUUGAUUAUUAAAUACCAAGGGUAUGGGGCACGUGUCUGGAGACACUUAGUGGGAAACACAAGCAAAUGGGAAGAAAUGAAUCCUGAUCAUUCUUUAGGAUUCCACAACAUGUUAUGAUAGAAUGAUUCCUUUGCCCCUGAGUCCGUGGAGCAUAAAGGAAUCUGGGGCAAUCUGUUCCCUUACCACAUCAGAAAAGUAGCUUUUUUGUUUCAAAGGUCUGUGGUGAGACACAAUUCCAUGACGUUAAUCAAUUUAUUUCAAUUGAGACUGAAACACAAAUGAAAGGUCCCCACUUCGGAAAAGGCCAUGAAAAUGUGAAGACGUUAUUAUUUCUAUGCUGAGAGGAGAAGCGAGAUUCUCUGCCUGGCACAUUUCAGAAAGGUUCAAUCAGCCAGGGCAGGGGAAUAGAUUUAAAAUAGAAAAGUAAUGGGAAAAGGGCUUUCCACGUAACAGAGUCGGUGACUGAUGAAAAACCAUCCCUUCGGAGCCAGCUCUAUUA